ACGCUGGCGGCGUGCCUAAUACAUGCAAGUAGAACGCUGAAGAGAGGAGCUUGCUCUUCUUGGAUGAGUUGCGAACGGGUGAGUAACGCGUAGGUAACCUGCCUUGUAGCGGGGGAUAACUAUUGGAAACGAUAGCUAAUACCGCAUAACAAUAGGUGACACAUGUCAUUUAUUUGAAAGGGGCAAUUGCUCCACUACAAGAUGGACCUGCGUUGUAUUAGCUAGUAGGUGAGGUAACGGCUCACCUAGGCGACGAUACAUAGCCGACCUGAGAGGGUGAUCGGCCACACUGGGACUGAGACACGGCCCAAACUCCUACGGGAGGCAGCAGUAGGGAAUCUUCGGCAAUGGGGGCAACCCUGACCGAUCAACGCCGCGUGAGUGAAGAAGGUUUUCGGAUCGUAAAGCUCUGUUGUAAGUCAAGAACGAGUGUGAGAGUGGAAAGUUCACACUGUGACGGUAGCUUACCAGAAAGGGACGGCUAACUACGUGCCAGCAGCCGCGGUAAUACGUAGGUCCCGAGCGUUGUCCGGAUUUAUUGGGCGUAAAGCGAGCGCAGGCGGUUUGAUAAGUCUGAAGUUAAAGGCUGUGGCUCAACCAUAGUUCGCUUUGGAAACUGUCAAACUUGAGUGCAGAAGGGGAGAGUGGAAUUCCAUGUGUAGCGGUGAAAUGCGUAGAUAUAUGGAGGAACACCGGUGGCGAAAGCGGCUCUCUGGUCUGUAACUGACGCUGAGGCUCGAAAGCGUGGGGAGCGAACAGGAUUAGAUACCCUGGUAGUCCACGCCGUAAACGAUGAGUGCUAGGUGUUGGAUCCUUUCCGGGAUUCAGUGCCGCAGCUAACGCAUUAAGCACUCCGCCUGGGGAGUACGACCGCAAGGUUGAAACUCAAAGGAAUUGACGGGGGCCCGCA
rnacentral:rRNA from 1 species